GGCAGCACACCCCGUGGAGGUGGGUGGUGGGUGGAGGUGGGUGCAGUCUCCCUGGCCAAGGAAGACUUAGAAAGCGGGAAUGGAGGCGGGAGCCCUCGGGGCGGCGCAGCUGCAGCCCCUGUCCUGGCUCUGAGCAUCGUGGCCACUUUGCUGGGCUGCAGAGUGUCACCUCACAGCGUGUCCGUAGGCAUUUGGCCAUAUGGGACUUGGGGGCUGGAAACUGGGGUCCUGGCCUGUCCUGCGCCCUGUGUUCUGGGUCCCACCCUGCCACCCCAGGAAGUCUCCAAUGCCUUCAGGUCCCGUGGAUGAGGCAGGUUCUGUGUGGAUCCUUCUCCAGCGAGACCCCCUUCAGUCUGGAGCAGAGCCGCUGACCGGCGCAUCAGCCAGCCUAGAGCCUACCUGGGGUCUGUUUGCAGUCCUGCACCUGUCCGCCUUGCUGAGGCUGAAGCCCCGCCCCAUCCCUGUGCUCGGGCUUGCAUUUCAGAGGCCCACAGGACGCCACAGCGGAGUGCCAGGACCAGACGCCCCAGCAAUGACCAGCUCCCCCGUCUCCAGAGUGGUCUACAACGGCAAGAGGAACAGCAGCCCACGCUCCCCCCCCAGCUGCAGCGAGAUCUUCACUCCGGCCCACGAGGAGAAUGUACGCUUCAUUUACGAAGAGAGAACGUGAGAGAGCAAGCUGCCAGGGCCAGGACUGAACCGGGAAGUCCAGCGCCUUACCCACCACGCCACCUGUUGGUCUCGAGGAGUGUGGUCCCAGGAAGGGGGGCUGGGGAAUAGGCUGUGUCCCAGAAGAGGCCUCUGGAGUCAGUCCUCAGCGCUCAGUGCACCCACCUGAGAGUGCAGUGCAGGCAUGGCAGCCUGUGUGGCAAGGAUGAGGGGGCGAGCAGAGGAGCCUGGCAGGGCGUGGAGAGGGACCUGCGAAGCCAGCUGGCGGGCAGCGAGCGCGGCCUGGUGGAAGAGUACGUGGAGAAGGUCCCCAACCCCAGCCUGAAGA